GGAUGCCAUCCACUUGGACACCCAUGAGAACCUAAUGGGGUUCAGUACGGCCAGUGGGUCAGGGAAAUCUUAGAUAUAAGUAUGGACAGGGAAAUGAACUCUUUGUGAGCAGCCCUGCCCAGGACUUGGGGGUCCUAAUGGGCAAAAAACAGGAUGAGAGUCAGCAGUAUGCAUUUGCAGCCUGGAAGGCCAAUGGUAUCCUGGAUUGCAUCAACAGAGGGGUGGCCAGCCUGGAGAAGGAGGGGAUUAUCCCUCUCUGCUCUGCCCUUGUGAGGCCCCAUCUGGAGUACUGUGUCCAGGCCUGGGGCCCCCGGCUCAAGAAGGAUGUGCAGCUGUUGGAGUAGCUCCAGAAAAGGGGUGCAAAGAUAAUCAGGGUGCUGGAGUACCUCUCCUAUGAUGAAAGGGAGUUGGGAUUGUUUCACUUGGAGAAGAGAAGGCUCUGGGGAGACCUCAUUGUAAUCUUCCAAUACCUGAAAGAAGCUUGCAGGCAAGAGGGGGACUGAUUUUUUAUGCAUGUUGAUAGUGAUAGGACAAGGGGAAACAGACUCAAAAGAGAAGAGGUUUAGGCUAUAUGUUAGGAACAAAUUCUUCACUACGAGGGUGAUGGGGCACAGGCACAGGCUGCCCAGAGAAGCUGUGAAUGUCGCAUCCCUGGAGGCAUUCAGGACCAAGCUUGUUGGGUUCCUAGGCAGUCUGAUCUGCCCAAGGAAGCUCUGUGUCCGGACAUAUUUCAUUGUGCUUUUCUAUUGAUUGUAUGGAAUGCAAGCAGAAUUCCUGCAAGAUAGCAAACUACUUCAGAAAAAUCAUGAGCAAAGGCAGAUGAGCCUACGUCUCCUCCCAAGCCUCCUGCUGCCAACAGAUUCUACAGUGGAUCAGUGGGAAUGAAUACACAAAUGAUGAUGCUUUUCUAUGGAAACAGUGAAUUUCAACCACAGAAAAGAAUAUAGAAGUAAGAACACAGGAACUGAAAGCUUUCUAGUCCUACUCUACAAUUUUCUCAUUUGCUCUUUAUCUGAGUUACUAACACAACAGGAGACAUGAGGAGGACAGGAACUUACCUGAACUACCGACUCAGAAACAGAUUUGUGAAAAUGACUGGGGAAGAUGCAGAGUACAUAAGACGGCUGCAGGAAAGACAACAAAAGGAACAAUUGUUAUGUGAAGAAUAAAGAAUCACAAGCUUGGGGUUUUUUUCCUCAAGGAGGAAGGAGGGGCUUUUCAAAAUGAUAUUAUCUUUGCCACUACUCAGUCUUCACAUGUACUCUUUAAUUCCUAAAAUAUACUAUACGCUUUCCUAGGAAAUGUUCUGAAAAGUCUUGAAGAAACCACUUCUUCUCACAUAUUUCCCUAUGUUUUCUUCUGAAACAACUCUUUUUUUCUUUUUUUUUCUUUUUUUUCUUUUUUUUUUUUUUUUGUAUUAUUUUAUUUUACUGUGACUGCCAUUACACUUAGGAUUUUCCCUAUAAAUUAACUUCCUGAAAUUAUGUAGCG
ensembl:lncRNA